rnacentral:rRNA from 1 species
AGGCAGCAGUGGGGAAUAUUGCGCAAUGGGCGGAAGCCUGACGCAGCGACGCCGCGUGAGGGAUGACGGCCUUCGGGUUGUAAACCUCUUUCAGCUCUGACGAAGCGAGAGUGACGGUAGGAGCAGAAGAAGCACCGGCCAACUACGUGCCAGCAGCCGCGGUAAUACGUAGGGUGCAAGCGUUGUCCGGAAUUAUUGGGCGUAAAGAGCUCGUAGGCGGUCUGUCGCGUCGAAUGUGAAAACCCGGGGCUCAACCCCGGGCCUGCAUUCGAUACGGGCAGACUAGAGUUCGGUAGGGGAGUCUGGAAUUCCUGGUGUAGCGGUGAAAUGCGCAGAUAUCAGGAGGAACACCGGUGGCGAGGGCGGGACUCUGGGCCGAUACUGACGCUGAGGAGCGAAAGCGUGGGGAGCAAACAGGAUUAGAUACCCUGGUAG